rnacentral:rRNA from 1 species
UACACUCCUGCGGGAGGCAGCAGUGGGGAAUUUUACGCAAUGGGGGAAACCCUGACGUAGCGACACCGCGUGAGCGAAGAAGCCCUUUGGGGUGUAAAGCUCUGUCAGCUGGAACGAAAACAAUGACGGUACCAGCAGAGGAAGCAUCGGCUAACUACGUGCCAGCAGCCGCGGUAAGACGUAGGAUGCGAGCGUUGUCCGGAUUUAUUGGGCGUAAAGAGUUCGUAGGUGGUUUGUUAAGUUUGGUGUUAAAGAUCGGGGCUCAACCCUGGGACUGCACUGAAUACUGGCAGACUCGAGUGUGGUAGAGGCUAGUGGAAUUCCCAGUGUAGCGGUGAAAUGCGUAGAUAUUGGGAAGAACACCGGUGGCGUAGGCGACUAGCUGGGCCAUAACUGACGCUGAGGAACGAAAGCCAGGGGAGCGAAUGGGAUUAGAAACCCGAGUAGUCCCA